CAGUAGCCACGGGAAUACAGAGGGUGCGAGCGUUAAUCGGAUUUACUGGGCGUAAAGCGUGCGUAGGCGGCUAAUUGAGUCGGAUGUGAAAUCCCCGAGCUUAACUUGGGAAUUGCAUUCGAUACUGGUUAGCUAGAGUGUGGGAGAGGAUGGUAGAAUUCCAGGUGUAGCGGUGAAAUGCGUAGAGAUCUGGAGGAAUACCGAUGGCGAAGGCAGCCAUCUGGCCUAACACUGACGCUGAGGUACGAAAGCAUGGGGAGCAAACAGGAUUAGAUACCCGAGUAGUCCCUGUCUCUUAUAA
rnacentral:rRNA from 1 species